rnacentral:rRNA from 1 species
GUGCCAGCAGCCGCGGUAAGACGGAGGGGGCUAGCGUUGUCCGGAAUUACUGGGCGUAAAGCGCUCGUAGGCGGUUUGAUACGGCGGUGGUGAAAGCUCUCGGCUCAACUGAGAGAGGCCCGCCGCAACGGUCAGACUUGAGGGUGGUAGAGGCAGAUGGAAUUCCUGGUGUAGCGGUGAAAUGCGUAGAGAUCAGGAGGAACACCCGUGGCGAAGGCGGUCUGCUGGGCCACACCUGACGCUGAGGAGCGAAAGCCAGGGGAGUGAACGGGAUUAGAUACCCCGGUAAUCCUGGCUGUAAACGAUGGAUACUAGGUGUCAGCGGUAUCGACCCCGCUGGUGCCGCAGCUAACGCGUUAAGUAUCCCGCCUGGGGAGUACGGCCGCAAGGUUGAA